UACGUAGGGGGCGAGCGUUGUCCGGAUUCAUUGGGCGUAAAGAGCUCGUAGGCGGCUGUUCAAGUCGAACGUGAAAACUCGGAGCUCAACUCCGAGCCUGCGUUCGAUACUGGAUGGCUAGAGUCUGGUAGGGGGACCUGGAAUUCCUGGUGUAGCGGUGGAAUGCGCAGAUAUCAGGAAGAACACCAAUGGCGAAAGCAGCUCUCUGGGACGGUACUGACGCUGAGACGCGAAAGCGUGGGGAGCGAACAGG
rnacentral:rRNA from 1 species